GUUUCUGCUUCAGCGCGGGCUCCCUGAUGGCGAGGCACGCGCCGUCACGUCCGCCUCCUGCGGGUACCCUUCUCAGCCUAAUUCGUCGACGGUGAGGUACCCAGCAUCCUGGCCUCCAGAAACAACAGAGGGAAUAGAGGCGAUUUAUGUUGCUUUGGCCAAGAAUCAAUGCCAUUUCCCACUCCAGUAGUUGUAAUGUGAGGCAAAAACCACCAAGAAGAUUGUGCUGAAACUGCAGUGCCAGAGCUGCAAGCACUGCUCCCAACGCGCCAUCAAGGCUUUGUCAGCUCGAAUUUUUGCUGUCAUGAAUGUUGCAAACGCAGGCAUAUCUUGUGUCAUGAGAAGGAUAUAAGAGGAGUGGAAAAUUUCCAGGAAAGGUGAGGGUUCAUAAGGUCUUGUUUCUUGUUUCUUUAAAUGCUUGCUUCACAUUCUUAUGAAGUUGUACUUGGCUUCACAUUCUUAUGUCUAUAUAUAUGCAUGUAUUUACCUUCUCUGGAUUAUUUAAUCAUGAUUUUUAGACAUUUGAUCAUAGCAAUCUGUUUUUUUGUUGCAUCCGUCAUGAUUUCAUAACCAACUUAAUUACAUUUUAACCUCUACUAAUUUUUGUGUGCGUGAUUGGUGCACGAUUCGAAUCACGGCAGAAAUGUCUGUUUAAGAUUUUUUUUGAGAUGUUAUUAUGGAAAGAAUUAGAUCAAGCUGGAUUCGGUUAAACCGUUGAGGAAGGAGUCAUACGACUCCCCAACUCUGUUUUCCCUAGCGCCCGCUGCUCGUCAAACUUAAAUUAUGAGCGGAAAAUUUGGCUAAGUGCCCGACUCUGGGAUUGGACCGUAUAAGGUCCCUCCUAUGGACCCUCCUUGGACUUUAACACGUCAGCUUAUAGCACCAAGUGCAAAGCUCUUUUAUCUAGCCUGUAUCUAUAGUGCUUGUAGAAGGAAGACAUACGACUCCUACCAUAUCCCCGGUAGGCGGUAGGCACAACUCGCCUUCAACAGCGCCUUGAUGUCGACGUCUUCCCCAGUGCCGGUGACUCUCAACACGUCUACAAGCAGUAAAAAGCACCUCUCCUCAUCGGCAUACAGCUCACCAACGUCCACCGUGGUGAUGCGCCCGCCGGCGUCGAUGCGGUUCUUGUAUCGUCCAGAUUUGACGAACUGGACGCGGACGUUAGGACAGAUGCAAUCGACGGAGAUGCGUGACUUAUGCGAUGUGACUGAGAGGAGCCCUCUGAUGCACUGCGGAAAUGAGUCCUCGAUGAUCUCCUCGUUCUCGAUGAAGGAGAACAUGCCGGUGGUGGCCUCCGCGAUGGUGUGCAUCGCCGCUGAAUCCUGGUCAGUGCCGGAACUAAAGGUGUGGCCGACGCGAAUCAAGGAAGAUGACACGAGCACAUUGUAGUCGGUGGCCGCCGCGGACCUUGGAGGCUUGGAUGUAGCGUGUAGCUGUCCUGGCCGUCGGAGAUGAGGAUGACAGCGGAGAUGGUGUCCUAGUAUUGGCGGCCGUCAAUCAUCCUGGCAGCUUCGCGGAGGCCUUCUUUGAUGUUGGUCCAGCCGCAGGUGACGAGGGACUCCACGGCACGCUUGCCGCUUGGACGAGGCCCUUCUGUCGUUGGACACACGCGUGAGACGGCGCGUGGUGGAGGAGAAUGAGACGAGGCUGAGGCGGUGGUCAGGUCCCAGCUUGUUGACGACGAACCCCAUGACCUGCUUCAGCAGGGCCAGCUUGACACCGACCAUGCUUGUGCUGAUGUCGCACCAUCACAAGGUCGAGUGGGGCCGCAGAUGCACUGAAUAGAGGAAGUCGACACUGGUGUUUGCUUGCCAUUGGAAUGUUGCAGAUCAACUCCUUGUCAAUGGCGUGCAUGGUUGCAGAGAUGCAAACUUUACAGCCUUGUACAUCCACCGGCCACCGCUAGUAUGUCUGGACGUAGUGCCUUAUUCUCCAUGUAUACUACUAAUGUAUGAAGAGUCAGAUUAACUAGAAAGCUUUGAGAUUAGUUCUAACACGACAGGUGUCACAGUCUGACAAGGGGCCCUAGCUGGAAGGUUGUGCGGCCCAGCCGCAUAGAAUUUUUUUCCGACGCCAAACGUCAUCCGGAAUCCUGGUAUCCAUCGGUAAUCGGGCUUCAGGGAUUUUGACCCUAGCGUCUGGGGUAAGUGGCCGCGUUGUACACGCCUAGGUUUUCCAAAGAAACCAGAGCGGCGGCGAAAGAGGGCGCCCUACCCUACUGGUCUGGUAGGGGAAGCGAGUCGUCGACGCGGAAGGAAGCCGUGGAGGAGACGGGAAUAGGUCUGAGAUGGCGGGGGUGAGCUCUGACUCUGAGGCGAGGAUAGCGAAUGUAAAGAAGAUACAAGACCGCAUGGCGAUGACAAAGGCCUUCCUCCAGAGACAACAGAAGUUGCCAACGAAGAAGAAGGCGAAUGAUGACGAAUCAGCAGAUCCCAGUUCCACCAAUUUAGUGGCCAUCCAAGAUAACCAUCUCGACAAAGGUAAAUCAGCAUUGGCCAAGAAGACGUCAGAUGAGGAGGCGGUGGAUUACGCUUGGUACCGUCUAAACUGGGAAUCAAAUUGUUGCAAA